CCCUUAGAUGUUCUGGGCCGCACGCGCGCUACACUGACGAAUGCAACGAGCUUAUAAUAACCUUGGCCGAAAGGUCUGGGUAAUCUCCAAAUUUCGUCGUGAUGGGGAUAGAUUAUUGCAAUUAUUAAUCUUCAACGAGGAAUGCCUAGUAAGCGCAAGUCAUCAGCUUGCGUUGAUUACGUCCCUGCCCUUUGUACACACCGCCCGUCGCUCCUACCGAUUGAAUGGUCCGGUGAAGCGUUCGGACCGUGGCCUUUGGACGGUUCGCCGUCUGUUGGCUGCGGGAAGUUCGUUAAACCUUNUNAUUUAGNGGAAGGAGAANUCGUANCA
rnacentral:rRNA from 1 species